CAGCAGCCACGGUAAUACGUAGGUGGCAAGCGUUGUCCGGAAUUAUUGGGCGUAAAGGGCUCGCAGGCGGUUUCUUAAGUCUGAUGUGAAAGCCCCCGGCUCAACCGGGGAGGGUCAUUGGAAACUGGGAGACUUGAGUGCAGAAGAGGAGAGUGGAAUUCCACGUGUAGCGGUGAAAUGCGUAGAGAUGUGGAGGAACACCAGUGGCGAAGGCGACUCUCUGGUCUGUAACUGACGCUGAGGAGCGAAAGCGUGGGGAGCGAACAGGAUUAGAUACCCGCGUAGUCCCUGUCUCUUAUAC
rnacentral:rRNA from 1 species